UCCGAGCCCUAGGUUUUCUCUUCAGCCUCCCCAAUCGCCUCCAUCUCUAUUCUCGGUCUCAACUCUGAACUUGCCCCUCUCUCUGUAACUCCCCAAUCGUGCGCCUCUAUCUCUAUUCUCAUUCUCAACUCUGAACUUGCCCUCUCUCUCUCUGACUCCUCAAUCGCCUUCAUCUCUAUUCUCAUUCUCAACUCUGAACUUGCGCCCUCUCUAUCUCUGCAACUCCCUAAUUGCCUCCAUCUCUAUUCUCUUUUCUCAACUUUGAACUUGCCCCUUCUCUCUCUCUGCAACUGCUAACUAGAAAAUCUACAAGAAUCGGAAGUUUAAAACCAUAUAUUUCAGUUUAUUUUGUCUGUCUACAAGAAUCAAAAGUUCAAAACCUAUUGCACCACAGCCACCACCAUCACUCCACCCCAUAUCAUCACACCACCUUGAGGCCAACCCCUCUCUCUCUGUUCGAGCUCUCUGCUAUGGGUUUUUCGGUGAGAUCUCUGGCCAAACCUUGGCCUCUCACUCUCCGGCCGACCCUUGGCCAAGGAGAUAACAUUCUCAUCUCGCCGCCAUCCACCGCUGCAAUUUUCGGUCAUCUUCUCUGGUGAAUCUCAGGCCGUCAUCUCAUCGUUCUCAGGUGAAUGAUGGGAGGAGCAUCAAUCCAUCUGAGCUGCAAGAGAAGUUGACCGACUUAGUCAUCCGGACUUCAAGUUAGAUCCCCUUUUAAUUUUUGUUUCUCUGAUGUUUUUGUUUUCAAACUAGAAUGGGGCUUUGAGUUGGAUUUUGAAGUGUGAACUUGUGGUGCUUGUGGGGGCUACUUUAUACUCUUGGGAAGUUUGUUGUCUAUAUUUUUGUGAAUCUGUCCCACACCCGGCUCUGAACUUGGAGAGCUUUCACUGCAUCACCAUAAUGGAAGCCGUUAACAACGGCAAGGAUCUUCACGUCUCCGUCACCAUGCCUUCCAUUGAGGUGAGGACAAUCUCAAGGGAGCAAGUAAGAGCACUAAGGAAAGCUGUUGACGAUGUAAGUUGCAAUCGUUCACUUUGAAUAGUUUCUCCAUGCAAACUACGUUUUCAGAGGCAACUUAAAGAAGUGUUUUAGAGAGUUUAAAGUUAAAGCUAGAAAAAAGAAAGUUUGAAGAUGGGGUUAUGGUUGUGCUUUCUAAAUUUCCUUAGCUGAUGUGAAAACUUUUAAUACAUUUUGAUGGGUUCUUUUGAGAAAACUUGUGGUUGUGUUUACUACUUUUGUGAAAAUUAUUUUCAUUGUGUAUACUUCUUUUGUAAAAACUUGGUGUUCAGUACAGUAUUAUCAAUUAGUAGACAUGCAAUUUGGAUGGUAUUUUCAUAUUUGCAGAUUAACUUGUAGUUGCCUAAAUCCAUUAAUAUACAUCUGGAUGAUAAUUGUUUUUAUAUAUAUAAACAUGUUUUAUAAAUGGGUUUCUUUAGGGAAAGAAAAAAAACCAAACCAAAACAAAAUAAAUAAAUAAAUAAUAAAAAUACGAAAAAAAAUAAAUAAAUUGGUAAUCACCAGCGCUUUAAAGAGCGCUGGUAUAGACCAAAACAAAAAAAAAUAAUAAUAAUAAAUAAAUAAAAAAUUGGUAAAUACCCCUUUGCCAGCGCUUCUGGAGAAACGCUGGUAAAGGGUCUUUACCAGCGCUUCUGGAGCAUUGGUAAAGCCCUACCGACACUGGAUUUACCAGAAGCGUUGGUAAUUCAAUUACCCGCGCUUUUUAAGGCUUUUACCAGCGUUUUUGAGCGCUGGUAAAAGCCAAAACUGUUGUAGUGUUAAAAUCGAUUAUCUUUAGUGGAUUGAUCUAAAAAAAUAAU